AGUGAAAUUAAGCUUAUUUCAUUGGAAAAUAAUAAGAUAAGAGAAUAAAUUAUUUUCUCUCUUUAUAUAAUCAUUUCGUUGUAUUCAAAUUUCUACCAAGGUAUCUAUAUUAAAAGUAUGCAAAUGCAUAAGCAAUUGCUGAAAAGGUGGAAAGGUUUGUGCAAUCUUUUACUCUUUAGCAGGUGGCUUUCCGUUAGCUGCUCCAACGUUAUGACCCCAGUUGAUUAGUUCUUUACUACAGUCGUCUUGGUCAAUAUUGCACUCAAUGAGGGUUGGCCCUUGGGAAUUUUCUUUAGCUUGUCGAAUUGCUUCAGCUAGCUCAUGUCCAUUUCCAACACGGAAUCCUUUGGCAUGACCUUCUCCAGCAUUGAAUGCUUCAACAAUUGCUGCAUAAUCCCAGUUUUUAAUACGGUUAUAAGGACCAUCGUGAAUUUCAACUUCAAUAGUAUAUCCUCUGUUGUUGAUUAAAAACAUGAUGAUUGGUAAAUUUAGUCGAACCAUUUGCGACACUUCUUGUACAGUUUCUUGAAAUGAUCCAUCUCCAACGAAAACUACCACAUUGCGCUUAGGUGCUCCGAUAGCGUAUCCAAAUGCAGAUGGCACGGACCAUCCAAUGUGACCCCAUUGCAUUUCUAUUUCAAAUCUCGCUUUUUCUGGCAGAGUUAUUCUCAUUCCUCCAAACCAAGAAUCACCAGUAUCAACGAAUAGAGUUGUUUCCUGAUUAACGAGGUUUUGAACCUGGCGAAUAAUCUCUUUUCGAUUGAGUGCAGCCUUGGGGUUUUCCAUAGGUAUUUCAAGUGAUUCUGGCCGUAUACGUUUGUACUCAACAACACUUGCAUUGUUUGCUUUCACCUUUUUUGCUAGUUCAUGAAGGAAAUCCCUUAACAAAACUCCACCAAAUUCGGCAUCAGAAACAGUUACACGAUCAACAUCAACAUGUAACACAUUGGCCUUCGGUGGUAGCGAAGUCCAUCCAUUUGAGCUAUAAUCAGUAAAUGUUGUUCCAGCGCAAAUGAUACAAUCCGACCAGUUGAUAAUGGAUUCAGCACCUAGUGUGCUUGCCUGUCCCCAAUAAAUUCCCGCAUAAUUUGGAUGAGAUUCAGGGAAAAAGCUUUUGGCGUUUGGCAUGACUGCAACAGAGCAGUUCAACGAAUUCGCCAACUCCAAGAAUGCGCUCUCAGCUUUAAAGCUUCGAAGUUUAGGUCCGGCCAACAAUACGGGCUUUUGCUUUCCAUUUACGAUUUUGGCGCUAAUGUCAACGGCCAUUUGCAAAUAUUCUUGAUUGCUGGUUUCAGGCUCGGUAAUCAAGCUGGCUGGUCCCGGCGCUGCACAAGGUUGAGAAGCAACAUUCGUAGGAACUUCAAUGUAAACAGGCUUCUUUUUCAAUAAAGCCAUUUUAAUUGCAUAGUCAAUUAGUCGAGGUGCCUCAGUCGGCCUUUGAAUAGAUACCGCAGCACAAGUAAUUUUCUUGGCCAUCUCAUAUUGAUAGCUAAAGUCAUGGGUUCCCAAAGUAUGAUGCAAUAAAUGAGACGAUCCUAUAUCGUUUGUGUUUGGAGAUCCACUAAUCAAAAUUACAGGAAGGUCUUCAGCGUAUGCACCUCCAAUCCCAUCAAACGCGGUGAAAGCUCCUACACUAUAGGUAACAACACACGCAGCGAUACCGUUGGCACGUGCAUAUCCUUCGGCAGCAAAAGCACAGUUAAGCUCAUUUGCACAGUUUACCUCUUCAAGAUAAUUGUUGUAUUGUAGCUUGUCAAGUAACCCAAGAUUAUAGUCACCGGGAACCACAAAAUGAUGCUUUACGCCAGCUUGUGCUAACCGAACGGCCAAGUAGUGUCCAAUUGUUGUUGGCUGUUGUAACUGAACUGCUUGCUGAUUAUCUUUCAUA
rnacentral:lncRNA from 1 species